UCUAGUGCGGUGAGGGUCCGGUUGACGAGGAGGGCUCGGCUCAGAGCUUUCGCUCCCAGGUUACCGAUAGAGUUGUCCGCAAGACUAGCAGGGAGGAGGGAAGAGGGAUGAGGUGAUUGUUUGGUUUAAAAUGUAACAUAACAGAAGACAACUGACUCACAGAGCUAGUCAGUAAAAAAAAAAAAACAAGGACAUCCUGAAGGGACAAAUUAAGUGUGGCGCGAACGACAUCGACCGACACCAACGUCACGUUAAAGUAAACUUGCGGCAGAGUGCAGGAAACAGCGGUUAACAAAUCAGUCGUAAGGAAGAGAGGAGAUUGCACAUUUCUGCAGUGUUACUGCACUGAAAAAAAACACAUGACCAUAAAAAACAACAACAUAUUGAGUCGUCCGGUGGACUUUUUCGAUUAAAAA